CUGGUACUCCCUCCGUCCGGAAAUACUCGUCGGAAAAAUGCAUAAAAAUGGAUGUAUCUAAAACUAAAAUACGUCUAGAUACAUCCAUUCCUUUGACAAGUAUUUCGGGACGGAUAGAGUAUUUG
rfam:Triticum aestivum genome assembly, contig: Triticum_aestivum_CS42_TGACv1_scaffold_030772_1BL